GACGAAGGUGGCGAGCGUUGUUCGGAAUCACUGGGCAUAAAGCGCACGUAGGCGGCGGCGUAAGUUGGAUGUGAAAUCCCCCGGCCCAACCGGGGAACUGCGUCCAGUACUGCGUUGCUUGAGGAUCCAAGGGGUGCAUGGAAUUCCCGGUGGAGCGGUGAAAUGCGUAGAUAUCGGGAAGAACACCCGUGGCGAAGGCGGCUCUCUGGAACGCAACUGACGCUGAGACGCGAAAGCGUGGGGAGCAAACAGG
rnacentral:rRNA from 1 species